rnacentral:tRNA from 1 species
GGAGAGAUGGCUCAGUGGUUAAGAGCACUGACUGCUAUUUCAGAGGUCCUAAGUUCAAUUCCCAGGGCCCACA